rnacentral:rRNA from 1 species
UACGUAGGGCGCAAGCGUUGUCCGGAAUUAUUGGGCGUAAAGAGCUCGUAGGCGGUCUGUCGCGUCUGCUGUGAAAACCUAGGGCUUAACCCUGGGCCUGCAGUGGGUACGGGCAGACUAGAGUGCGGUAGGGGAGACUGGAAUUCCUGGUGUAGCGGUGAAAUGCGCAGAUAUCAGGAGGAACACCGGUGGCGAAGGCGGGUCUCUGGGCCGUAACUGACGCUGAGGAGCGAAAGCAUGGGGAGCGAACAGG